GAUGAACGCUGGCGGCGUGCCUAAUACAUGCAAGUCGAGCGAACAGACGAGGAGCUUGCUCCUCUGACGUUAGCGGCAGACGGGUGAGUAACACGUGGAUAACCUACCUAUAAGACUGGGAUAACUUCGGGAAACCGGAGCUAAUACCGGAUAACAUGUUGAACCGCAUGGUUUAACAGUGAAAGACGGUCUUGCUGUCACUUAUAGAUGGAUCCGCGCCGCAUUAGCUAGUUGGUAAGGUAACGGCUUACCAAGGCAACGAUGCGUAGCCGACCUGAGAGGGUGAUCGGCCACACUGGAACUGAGACACGGUCCAGACUCCUACGGGAGGCAGCAGUAGGGAAUCUUCCGCAAUGGGCGAAAGCCUGACGGAGCAACGCCGCGUGAGUGAAGAAGGUCUUCGGAUCGUAAAACUCUGUUAUUAGGGAAGAACAAAUGUGUAAGUAACUAUGCACGUCUUGACGGUACCUAAUCAGAAAGCCACGGCUAACUACGUG
rnacentral:rRNA from 1 species